GAAAAGAAACCAACAGGGAUUGCCUUAGUAGCGGCGAGUGAAGCGGCAAAAGCUCAAAUUUGAAAUCUGGCACUUUCAGUGUCCGAGUUGUAAUUUGAAGAAGGUAUCUUUGGGUCUGGCUCUUGUCUAUGUUUCUUGGAACAGAACGUCACAGAGGGUGAGAAUCCCGUGCGAUGAGAUGUCCCAGACCUAUGUAAAGUUCCUUCGAAGAGUCGAGUUGUUUGGGAAUGCAGCUCUAAGUGGGUGGUAAAUUCCAUCUAAAGCUAAAUAUUGGCGAGAGACCGAUAGCGAACAAGUACAGUGAUGGAAAGAUGAAAAGAACUUUGAAAAGAGAGUGAAAAAGUACGUGAAAUUGUUGAAAGGGAAGGGCUUGAGAUCAGACUUGGUAUUUUGUAUGUUACUCUCUCGGGGGUGGCCUCUACAGUUUACCGGGCCAGCAUCAGUUUGAGCGGUAGGAUAAGUGCAAAGAAAUGUGGCACUGCUUCGGUAGUGUGUUAUAGUCUUUGUCGAUACUGCCAGCUUAGACUGAGGACUGCGGCUUCGGCCUAGGAUGUUGGCAUAAUGAUCUUAAGUCGCCC
rnacentral:rRNA from 1 species